UUAAAUUGAAGAGUUUGAUCAUGGCUCAGAUUGAACGCUGGCGGCAGGCCUAACACAUGCAAGUCGAACGGUAACAGAAAGCAGCUUGCUUCUUUGCUGACGAGUGGCGGACGGGUGAGUAAUGUCUGGGAAACUGCCUGAUGGAGGGGGAUAACUACUGGAAACGGUAGCUAAUACCGCAUAACGUCGCAAGACCAAAGAGGGGGACCUUCGGGCCUCUUG
rnacentral:rRNA from 1 species